GUAAGUUUUCUGCCAACUGGUUCAUCAAUGCUAGAGGGGUUUAGAAAAUUGAAUAAGAGAUAGAAAGCGCAUGGAUUUGUUUUUCUCAGAAAGAACAAAAAUCAAGAAACUCAUACACUGGUAUUUUCAGCGCUGUCGCGUACAAGAUCUCCCUGGACACUCGUAGAAGUUGAACAUGCGAAUAUGCGCGUAAAUUUGAGGUGUUGAGAUUGUAGGUGAAGAGACACGUGGCUAGAUACAAACUCUGCAUACUCACUUGGUGAGCUCAGUUGAUGUUUCCUAGCAGUAGCCGAAUAUCUUCAGCUUAUGUUAUUUUCCAUGGCAUAUUAUUUAUUCUCGGGGAAUGCCCCAAAGUUUAUGUAUUCCAAUUUAAUCUUUAGAGGCUCAUGAUUGUUUGAUGGGUUAUGGUUCACAA